rnacentral:rRNA from 4 species
AACCAAUGGCCUCUUGAACGUGCAUUGCGCUCUUGGGAUAU